rnacentral:lncRNA from 1 species
GGGGGGGGUAGGGACUGCACUGAUUCUUCUGUGCGGCUGCCUUGCUCCUAGCUGGGUUUUUUGAGUCUCCGAAGUUUUCCAGAGAGAUUCGGAAAAAAACGAAAACACAGCUCGGGAAGCCUCCACCAGCUGAUUCCUAUGCCAGUUCACCUCUGGCAAUGGCUGGACUGCUGGAACCCAGAGCAGCCAAGACCAACUUCGCAUUCUUCCCGCCCCCUCAUUUCACUGGAGCCGGGAGCCCUGCGCUCAGGGGAAGGGCCUCAGCUCUACAGACUGCCAAAGUCCGCUGGGUCUCUCCACUCCAAAAAUGGUGAGAAAGGAUGUCAUCUUUUUCGCAGAGGAGCCAGAAGCAG